GACAGAGGGUGCAAACGUUGUUCGGAAUUACUGGGCGUAAAGCGAGUGUAGGCGGUCCUCUAAGUCGGGUGUGAAAGCCCCGGGCUCAACCCGGGAAGUGCACUCGAAACUGGAGGGCUAGAGUAUCGGAGAGGUUGGUGGAAUUCUCGGUGUAGAGGUGAAAUUCGUAGAUAUCGAGAGGAACACCGGUGGCGAAGGCGGCCAACUGGACGAAUACUGACGCUGAGACUCGAAAGCGUGGGGAGCGAACAGG
rnacentral:rRNA from 1 species